rnacentral:misc_RNA from 1 species
UCAACCCUCAAGCAUUGCUUGGUGUUGGGGCACUGCCUGUAAAAGGGCAGGCCCUGAAAUCUAGUGGCGAGCUCGCUAGGACCCCGAGCGCAGUAGUUAAACCCUCGCUCUGGAAGGCCCUGGCGGUGCCCUGCCGUUAAACCCCCAACUUCUGAAA